rnacentral:lncRNA from 1 species
UCCCAAGCGUUCACUGUAUAAUGAAUGUUUGAAAGGUGCCAGAAGUGCAUCAUGCAUUUCAUUUUUGGUAUUAUAAUAUUAAACAUACUUUUUCACUGCAAUGAUUCCAUGGACAUGAGCCAGCAGUGUGCCCAGGUGGCCAAGAAGGCCAGCAGCAUCCUGGCUUGUAUCAGGAAUAGUGUAGCCAGCAGGACCAGGGGGGUGAUUGUCUCCCUGUACUCUCCCCUGAUGAGGCUGCACCUCGAGUACUGUGUUCAGCUUUGGGCCCCUCACUACAAGAAGGACAUCGAGGCCCUGGAGCGUGUCCAGAGCAGGGCUACGAAGCUGGUGAAGGGCCUGGAACACAAGUCCUGUGAGGAGCGGCUGAGGGAACUGGGGGUGUUUGGUCUGGAGAAGAGGAGGCUCAGGGGAGNUUUCAUUUUUGGUAUUAUAAUAUUAAACAUACUUUUUCACUGCAAUGAUUCCAUGGACAUGAGCCAGCAGUGUGCCCAGGUGGCCAAGAAGGCCAACAGCAUCCUGGCUUGUAUCAGGAAUAGUGUAGCCAGCAGGAUCAGGGGGGUGAUUGUCUCCCUGUACUCUCCCCUGAUGAGGCUGCACUUCGAGUGCUGUGUUCAGCUUUGGGCCCCUCACUACAAGAAGGACAUCGAGGCCCUGGAGCAUGCCCAGAGCAGGGCUACGAAGCUGGUGAAGGGCCUGGAGCACAAGUCCUGUGAGGAGCAGCUGAGGGAACUGGGGUUGUUUAGUCUGGAGAAGAGGAGGCUCAGGGGAGACCUCAUUGCUCUCUGCAGCUACCUGAAAGGAAGGUGUGGGGAGCUGGGGGUCGGCCUCUUCUCGCAGAUAACCAGUGAUAGGACUAGAGGGAAUGGCCUCAAGUUGCACCAGGGGAGGUUCAGGUUGGAAAUGAGGAGACAUUUCUUCUCAGAAAGAGCAGUCAGGCACUGUAACGGGUUGCCCAGGGAGGUGGUGGCAUUAUCAUCCCUGGGGGUGUUAAAAGAAAGGCUGGACGUGGUGCUUAGGGACGUGGCUUAGUGGGUGACAUUGGUGGUAUGGGGAUGAUUGGACCAGAUGGUCUUGGAGAUCUUUUCCAACCUUUAUGAUUCUAUGUUUCUAUGAUAACCUGUCUCAAUACAGCUAAGAAUAUAAUAAUAUAAUCGAGGGAAUUAGCAAAAUUUCCUGUCUUCUUGACACUGGCCCUGAAACCAAUAGCACUAUUGGCAUCUGGAGACUGCACCUGUCAUGAGUUAUGGCCCCUCUUUUUACAAGAAGAAUAAAACUGAUAUUUCAGUGCCA